rnacentral:rRNA from 1 species
GUGGGGAAUCUUGCGCAAUGGGCGAAAGCCUGACGCAGCCAUGCCGCGUGAAUGAUGAAGGUCUUAGGAUUGUAAAAUUCUUUCACCGGGGACGAUAAUGGCGGUACCCGGAGAAGAAGCUCCGGCUAACUUCGUGCCAGCAGCCGCGGUAAUACGAAGGGGGCUAGCGUUGCUCGGAAUUACUGGGCGUAAAGGGCGCGUAGGCGGACAGCUUAGUCAGAGGUGAAAGCCCAGGGCUCAACCUUGGAAUUGCCUUUGAUACUGGCUGUCUUGAGUUUGGGAGAGGUGAGUGGAACUCCGAGUGUAGAGGUGAAAUUCGUAGAUAUUCGGAAGAACACCAGUGGCGAAGGCGACUCACUGGCCCAAUACUGACGCUGAGGCGCGAAAGCGUGGGGAGCAAACAGGAUUAGAAACCCGAGUAGUCC